AAGAGAGAAACCAAUUAAGUCUUCUGUAUAAAGAACUUUGCUAUCCCCUGGACACAGAGAUGUUCCCUCUACCUUCUUUGGCUUCCAGAAAAUGAUUGAAUGCCAACGUGGUCCUGCCUGGGCCAGUGACUACCUUUAACAACGUCAACUGCGGUUUAACCUUCUUCAGUAAUCGUCAGGUGUAGCUGAAGGAGGAUCUACUGGUAACUGUUCUCAAGUUGAGAACGACAACAUCCUGAAGCAUUGUUUCCCAACUGGUUAAGUCUGUGACAUAGUUGUCAGGUCACAACACAGCAGUAACGCGCAAGAUGUGUACUUCAGACCAAACAGCAUGAACCGGCUGGGGAGCCUCAGCACGUACACAUGCUGGAGGGCCGCCCCAGUGGAACGGUCAGGAGCUCUGAGGCUCUUCACCAUUAACUGGCCAUGUGACCUUGGAAGGCACCUAACCUCCUUAAGUCUCAUGUUUUUCUUCUGGAAAACG